GACGAACGCUGGCGGCGUGCCUAAUACGUGCAAGUCGAGCGCUCAAGUGUGGUACUUGUACCAAUGGGAUUAGCAGCGGACGGGUGAGUAACGCGUGGGUAACCUGCCUUUGAGCGUGGGACAACAUCUGGAAACGAAUGCUAAUACCGCAUAAAAACUUUAAACACAUGUUUUAAGAUUGAAAGAUGCAAUUGCAUCACUCAAAGAUGAGACCGCGUUGGAUUAGCUAGUUGGUGAGGGAAAGGCCCACCCAGGCGAUGAUAGAUAGCCGACCUGAGAGGGUGGUCGGGCACAAUGGGACUGGAGAAAGGCCCAAACUUCUUAGGGAAGCAGGAGGAGGGAAUUUUCGGCAAUGGAGGAAAGGCUGGACGAGGAAAGGCGGGUGGGUGGAUGAAGUUUUCCGAUUGGUAAACUUUGUUGAUAGAGAAGGAAGAUGGGGAGAGUGAACAGCGCACGAAGUGACGGUAACUACCCAGAAAGCGACGGCUAACUACGUG
rnacentral:rRNA from 1 species